GCACAAGAAGAAUAUAGGAGGAUGAAAUUGGAACAUGAUAAUGCUACGCUGGAAUACGAAAGGGCUUCUCUUCUCAAUCCUGAUAUCCAGAUAGGUUAAGAAGAUGAGAUAAAAGUAUUUCCCUGAAAUAUUUGGAGCUACAAUGGCAUUAUUGAUCGGUAACCCAGGCAAACAAUCCCCCUCCAAAAAACAUCAUGCUAUCGAUUACAUCGCUAUGUGUGCUUCUUUUGCAAAUCGAUUUGUACAUUAGUAGAGAUCUUGUAAAUUGGUAGAUUGAGUUAUCAUCUAGCUUCGACCCUCCAAAUGUUUUAGAAAAGCGUGGGUUGUUUGUCACUUGCAGUAACCUGUUUAGAGGAGUAAAACUGACAUGUCGCUUCUAUGGCUGGGGAAGAGGUUAAGCUUGCUCGGUCUUGCCUGACUAAGAUGAUGUUCAAUAUGCAGUAUUGAUUCUCAUGAUAUGAUGAUUUGACAUUUCUAUUAUCAAAUGGGGCAUGGGCCUCAUAGUCAAGUUCACGUGAGCAUGAUAAACACCUCAAUGCUAGUCUUGAAUAUUGAUUUUGGAUGAAAUGGCACAAAUAAAUAAUUUUGAUUCUUUGA